AUACGGAGGAUCCGAGCGUUAUCCGGAUUUAUUGGGUUUAAAGGGUGCGCAGGCGGCCAUUUAAGUCAGCGGUUAAAUCGUGGGGCUCAACCCCAUUCUGCCGUUGAUACUGGGUGGCUUGAUUGCGGUCGAGGUUGGCGGAAUUCGUUGUGUAGCGGGGAAAUGCAUAGAUAUGACGAAGAACACCGAUUGCGUAGGCAGCUGACCAGACCGCAAAUGACGCUCAUGCACGAAAGUGCGGGGAUCGAACAGGAUUAGAUACCCUGGUAGUCCGCACAGUAAACGAUGAAUACUUGUUUUCGGCGAUAUAAUGUCGGAGGCAAAGCGAAAGCGAUAAGUAUUCCACCUGGGGAGUACGCCGGCAGCGGUGAAACUUAAAGGAAUUGACGGGG
rnacentral:rRNA from 1 species